AUGACCAUAUCACGCCGGAAUACAGGUUCCCGUCCGAUCACCGAAGUUAAGAAACGUCGAGUUUGCUUAGGAUGGGUGACCACUUGGGAAUACCAGAUACUGUAAG